rnacentral:rRNA from 1 species
UGCAUAUCAAAUAAGCGGAGGAAAAGAAACCAACAGGGAUUGCCUCAGUAGCGGCGAGUGAAGCGGCAAAAGCUCAGAUUUGAAAUCGUGUUUCGGCACGAGUUGUAGAUUGCAGGUUGGAGUCUUUGUGGAAGCGUGUGUCUAAGUCCCUUGGAACAGGGUGCCAUUGAGGGUGAGAGCCCCGUGAGACGCGUGCGGAAGCUGUAAGGCCCUUCUGACGAGUCGAGUUGUUUGGGAAUGCAGCUCUAAGUGGGUGGUAAAUUCCAUCUAAGGCUAAAUAUUGGCGAGAGACCGAUAGCGAACAAGUACUGUGAAGGAAAGAUGAAAAGCACUUUGAAAAGAGAGUGAAACAGCACGUGAAAUUGUUGAAAGGGAAGGGUAUUGGGCUCGACAUGGGAUUUGCGCACCGCUGCUCCUUGUGGGCGGCGCUCUGUGCUUUUCCUGGGCCAGCAUCGGUUUUUGCCGCAGGAGAAGGCGUGCUGGAAUGUGGCUCUUCGGAGUGUUAUAGCCAGUGCGAGAUGCUGCGUGCGGGGACCGAGGACUGCGACAUCUGUCUCGGAUGCUGGCACAACGGCGCAAUACCGCCCGUCUUGAACCAACCGGGACCAAA